UUUGGCCUGCAAACAAGGGAACGAGGAGUGAAGAAUCCGCGUGCCGGCGCUUGAUCGGAAGCCGUCGGAUGCUGAUCGGACGGGCGAGAUCUCGGCGAUCGUUAUGACAGCGACUCCCUGACAGCAGCACGAAGAACGUCUGUUGGGAAGUGAGUCUCCGAGAAGUUUAUUUCAGUGCUCUGUUUCAUGUCCUGUUCCUGCUAUGUGCUUCAUGCCAAAGUUUUGCUUAUGGGUUCGAGGCAAACAAGACAGCGCUUCUUCUUGUAGAUGCUUCACCAGAAUUGGGACGUCAAAUGCCUGAGAACAUGUUUGGUAUCUUUUUUGAGGAGAUCAACCAUGCUGGAGCCGGUGGAUUAUGGGCAGAGCUUGUAAGUAAUAGAGGUUUUGAAGCUGGAGGUCCUAACACUCCUUCAAACAUUGAUCCGUGGUCCAUUAUUGGGAAUGAAUCAUACAUAAUUGUAUCAACUGAUCGGACAUCUUGUUUCAACCGUAAUAAGGUUGCACUU